UACGAAGGGGGCUAGCGUUGUUCGGAAUCACUGGGCGUAAAGCGCACGUAGGCGGAUUGUUAAGUCGGGUGUGAAAUCCUGAGGCUCAACCUCAGAACUGCCUUCGAUACUGGCAAUCUCGAGUCCGGAAGAGGUUGGUGGAACAGCUAGUGUAGAGGUGAAAUUCGUAGAUAUUAGCUAGAACACCAGUGGCGAAGGCGGCCAACUGGUCCGGCACUGACGCUGAGGUGCGAAAGCGUGGGGAGCAAACAGG
rnacentral:rRNA from 1 species